GGGGUGUCUGUGUAUGUAGUGGGGAUGUGUGUGGUCUAUGUGCAUGGCUGAGAGGUGUGUUUGCGGGGUGUCUGUGUAUGUAGUGGGGAUGUGUGUGGUCUAUGUGCAUGGCUGAGAGGUGUGUUUGCGGGGUGUCUGUGUAUGUAAGGGGAUGUGUGUGGUCUAUGUGCAUGGCUGAGAGGUGUGUUUGCGGGGUGUCUGUGUAUGUAGUGGGGAUGUGUGUGGUCUAUGUGCAUGGCUGAGAGGUGUGUUUGCGGGGUGUCUGUGUAUGUUGGGGGAUGUGUGUGGUCUAUGUGCAUGGCUGAGAGGUGUGUUUGCGGGGUGUCUGUGUGGUCUAUGUGCAUGGCAGAGAGGUGUGUUUGCGGGGUAUCUGUGUAUGUAAGGGGAUGUGUGUGGUCUAUGUGCAUGGCUGAGAGGUGUGUUUGCGGGGUGUCUGUGUAUGUAGUGGGGAUGUGUGUGGUCUAUGUGCAUGGCUGAGAGGUGUGUUUGCGGGGUGUCUGUGUAUGUAAGGGGAUGUGUGUGGUCUAUGUGCAUGGCUGAGAGGUGUGUUUGCGGGGUGUCUGUGUAUGUAGUGGGGAUGUGUGUGGUCUAUGUGCAUGGCUGAGAGGUGUGUUUGCGGGGUGUCUGUGUGGUCUAUGUGCAUGGCUGAGAGGUGUGUUUGCGGGGUGUCUGUGUAUGUAGUGGGGAUGUGUGUGGUCUAUGUGCAUGGCUGAGAGGUGUGUUUGCGGGGUGUCUGUGUAUGUAGUGGGGAUGUGUGUGGUCUAUGUGCAUGGCUGAGAGGUGUGUUUGCGGGGUGUCUGUGUAUGUAGUGGGGAUGUGUGUGGUCUAUGUGCAUGGCUGAGAGGUGUGUUUGCGGGGUGUCUGUGUAUGUAGUGGGGAUGUGUGUGGUCUAUGUGCAUGGCUGAGAGGUGUGUUUGUGGGGGUGUCUGUGUGGAUGGUGGUGCCCUGGGUCCGGGGUUUGCUGCUCUGUCCUGGGUGCGGUUGGUCUCCUGGGCAUGGUUGCUGGCCCUCUUCCUUGGGGUGGUGCCCGGGGGGGGGGGGCUCGGGCCUCUCCAGCGUGG